GCCCAUGUAGCUCAGUUGGCAGAGCACGCCCUUGGUAAGGGCGAGGUCUCCGGUUCAAUCCCGGACAUGGGCUCCA
rnacentral:tRNA from 1 species